AUUUCAGGGCAGGGUGUAAUUCCCUACCGGCGGUUAUAGUCCGCGACUCCCGAUGAGGGACUGAAUCGGUGGAAUUCCGAUACCGACGGUUAAAGUCCGGAUGGAAGAAA
rnacentral:ncRNA from 1 species